rnacentral:rRNA from 1 species
GACGAACGCUGGCGGCGUGCUUAACACAUGCAAGUCGAACGAAGAGCGACGGAAGCUUGCUUCUAUCAAUCUUAGUGGCGAACGGGUGAGUAACGCGUAAUCAACCUGCCCUUCAGAGGGGGACAACAGUUGGAAACGACUGCUAAUACCGCAUACGAUCUAACCUCGGCAUCGAGGAUAGAUGAAAGGUGGCCUCUACAUGUAAGCUAUCACUGAAGGAGGGGAUUGCGUCUGAUUAGCUAGUUGGAGGGGUAACGGCCCACCAAGGCGAUGAUCAGUAGCCGGUCUGAGAGGAUGAACGGCCACAUUGGGACUGAGACACGGCCCAGACUCCUACGGGAGGCAGCAGUGGGGAAUCUUCCGCAAUAGACGAAAGUCUGACGGAGCAACGCCGCGUGAGUGAUGACGGCCUUCGGGUUGGAAAGCUCUGUUAAUCGGGACGAAAGGCCUUCUUGCGAAUAGUGAGAAGGAUUGACGGUACCGGAAUAGAAAGCCACGGCUAACUACGUG